UACGUAGGGUGCAAGCGUUAAUCGGAAUUACUGGGCGUAAAGCGUGCGCAGGCGGCUUUGCAAGACAGAUGUGAAAUCCCCGGGCUUAACCUGGGAACUGCAUUUGUGACUGCAUGGCUGGAGUGCGGCAGAGGGGGAUGGAAUUCCGCGUGUAGCAGUGAAAUGCGUAGAUAUGCGGAGGAACACCGAUGGCGAAGGCAAUCCCCUGGGCCUGCACUGACGCUCAUGCACGAAAGCCAGGGUAGCGAACGGG
rnacentral:rRNA from 1 species